rnacentral:tRNA from 1 species
AGUUUUAAUAGUUUAUAAAAAACGCUGGUCUUGUAAAUCAGUAAAGAGAAAUUUUCUCUUAAAACUUC